rnacentral:rRNA from 1 species
ACCGGCGCACGGGUGCGUAACGCGUAUGCAAUCUGCCUUGUACUGGGGGAUAGCCCGGAGAAAUCCGGAUUAAUACCCCAUAGUAUAUAGAACUGGCAUCUUUUCUAUAUUAAAGAACUUCGGUACAAGAUGAGCAUGCGUCCCAUUAGCUAGUUGGUAUGGUAACGGCAUACCAAGGCAAUGAUGGGUAGGGGUCCUGAGAGGGAGAUCCCCCACACUGGUACUGAGACACGGACCAGACUCCUACGGGAGGCAGCAGUGAGGAAUAUUGGUCAAUGGACGCAAGUCUGAACCAGCCAUGCCGCGUGCAGGAUGACGGUCCUAUGGAUUGUAAACUGCUUUUAUACGGGAAGAAACCCCUCUACGUGUAGAGGGCUGACGGUACCGUAAGAAUAAGGAUCGGCUAACUCCGUGCCAGCAGCCGCGGUAAUACGGAGGAUCCAAGCGUUAUCCGGAAUCAUUGGGUUUAAAGGGUCCGUAGGCGG